rnacentral:rRNA from 1 species
AAUGGGCGCAAGCCUGACCCAGCCAUGCCGCGUGCAGGAUGACGCCCUAUGGGUUGUAAACUGCUUUUAUAUAGGAAGAAAAUACUCUUGCGAGAGAAACUGACGGUACUAUAUGAAUAAGGACCGGCUAACUCCGUGCCAGCAGCCGCGGUAAUACGGAGGGUUCAAGCGUUUUCCGGAUUUAUUGGGUUUAAAGAGUGCGUAGGUGGUUUAUUAAGUCAGUGGUGAAAUCCUGCAGCUCAACUGUAGAACUGCCAUUGAUACUGGUAAACUUGAGUUUGGUUUAGGUAAGCGGAAUUUAUGAUGUAGCGGUGAAAUGCAUAGAUAUCAUAAGGAACACCAAUAGCGAAGGCAGCUUACUGGACCACAACUGUCACUGAGGCACGAAAGCGUGGGUAGCGGACAGGAUU